AAAUUUCCAAUCCCAAAAACUCACCCCAGCGGGUACUGUACCAGAGCCCGAACAGAAGCAUGCGCAGAUUGGGGAGGAUGGAGAGACAGUGAGCGGGGUAAUCGGGGAUGCGUACCGUGUGGAGGUGUAGGGGGAUCGGCUCCGAUCUCGUCGACUCCGCCGGUUCCCAUACCGCGGGGAAGGGGAGCGGCGCCGGCGGUGCGACGGCGGCGACCGAGACACCGCACGCGGCAUCCCGCUCCGCGUGGCAGCCGGCACGAACAAGCACAACGGCGCCGCCGGUCUGACUUGGUCACCGUGCUAGUGCUGGGACUGGAGGAGCGGAGAGCGGGUGGGCCGGUGGAGCAAUACGGCAAGACGAUGCAGCGCCGCGGCGGCCUAAGAUCCCUAGGGUUUGCGGCGCCUGGGCCGACUGGUUACUACAUCUAAUUCAAACCCACUCCAACCCAAAACAUUUUUCCUCGGGUUAAUUUGUACCAAGCCACCGCAAAUUUGGCUAUUCAGAAAAAAGUCAUUACAAUUUAUGUAUUCAUAACCGUGCCACUAAAAUUUUAC
rnacentral:sRNA from 1 species